UACGAAGGUGGCAAGCGUUACUCGGAAUUACUAGGCGUAAAGGGCAGGUAGGUGGUUUGGCAAGUCUGUUGUGGAAGCUCCCGGCUUAACCGGGAGAGGCCAACGGAAACUGCCAGACUUGAGUGUAGGAGAGGGUAUUGGAAUUCCCGGUGUAGCGGUGAAAUGCGCAGAGAUCGGGAGGAACACCAAUGGCGAAAGCAGAUACCUGGACUAUUACUGACACUAAGCUGCGAAAGCUAGGGGAGCAAACAGG
rnacentral:rRNA from 1 species